GACGAACGCUGGCGGCGUGCCUAAUACAUGCAAGUAGAACGCACAGUUUAUACCGUAGCUUGCUACACCAUAGACUGUGAGUUGCGAACGGGUGAGUAACGCGUAGGUAACCUGCCUGGUAGCGGGGGAUAACUAUUGGAAACGAUAGCUAAUACCGCAUAAUAUUAAUUAUUGCAUGAUAAUUGAUUGAAAGGUGCAAAUGCAUCACUACCAGAUGGACCUGCGUUGUAUUAGCUAGUAGGUGAGGUAACGGCUCACCUAGGCGACGAUACAUAGCCGACCUGAGAGGGUGAUCGGCCACACUGGGACUGAGACACGGCCCAGACUCCUACGGGAGGCAGCAGUAGGGAAUCUUCGGCAAUGGACGAAAGUCUGACCGAGCAACGCCGCGUGAGUGAAGAAGGUUUUCGGAUCGUAAAGCUCUGUUGUAAGAGAAGAACGGGUGUGAGAGUGGAAAGUUCACACUGUGACGGUAUCUUACCAGAAAGGGACGGCUAACUACGUGCCAGCAGCCGCGGUAAUACGUAGGUCCCGAGCGUUGUCCGGAUUUAUUGGGCGUAAAGCGAGCGCACGCGGUUAGAUAAGUCUGAAGUUAAAGGCUGUGGCUUAACCAUAGUACGCUUUGGAAACUGUUUAACUUGAGUGCAGAAGGGGAGAGUGGAAUUCCAUGUGUAGCGGUGAAAUGCGUACAUAUAUGGAGGGAACACCGGUGGCGAAAACGGCCUCUCUUG
rnacentral:rRNA from 1 species